rnacentral:rRNA from 1 species
GCUUACGGCUAUACCACCCUGUCUGCGCCCGAUCUCAUGUGAUCUCGGAAACUAAGCAGGGUCAGGUCUGGUUAGUACUUGGAUGGGAGACCGCCUGGGAAUACCAGGUGUUGUAAGCU